CCAUGGGCCAGAUGUUUUGUCCCAUCGAAAACAAAAGUGAAAUCAACUCCUCGCUAUUCAUCAUAGUCUCAAAAAAGACUCGGUCUCGUACGUAUCUUCAACCCUCGUAUGAGAUGGCUCCGCCGCCGCCGCCUAAGACCGCAGCCCCGCCCCCGGCAGUCCGGCACCUCUCCUCUCCCGGCGGCCCUCCUUCACCGCAGUCUCCUCUACUCGGCCAUGUCCGCCCAAGUCUCCUCCCCCUUGUUGCACCUAUCAGCGGCGACCGCGAUGCCCGUCGACCACCAACAGCCGCCCAAGUUAUCUAUGGGUUCUCUAAGGGACUGGCCUGGGUCCUCUGCUUUCGGCCGGUGUCGGUGCAAGCUGAAACUCAUUCGUGGCAGGGAGGAGCAGAUCAAGGCCUCCCAAUAGGCGCAGGAUCAAGUCAUGAAACUUGCAUCAUCUUUACAUCACCAUGUAGUUGGGUGUAACGUGAGUUCUGCUCUUAUUCUACAUUGUGAGAGGAGCGACGCUGCCGGUGCGUGGCGACGAGAGGCUCCUGGUGCUCGACAAGGUGCCUGAGCAGGAGACACCUUGAUUAAUACAUCAUCGUUCCCCAUGCCAUAUGCCGGUGGAUGGAAACAGAGGUGUUCAAGCGAGUCGGCGACAUGUCUGCCGUGCCAGCACAGCUCAGCUCCGAAGAUAUAAUAGGCCCAGCAAAUAACAUCGCAUAAUUUAGGCAAGCGAAAUACAGCUGUUAAAUGCCUCCAUGUUGUAUUGCACACCCAUUUCAUAAUACUUUUUGACAUAAGUAUAAACAUCUGCAAGCCUACUGUUCUUCUGCGUGUUAAAUUGAAUAAGAUUAUGAUGUUAUAGUGUUGCUGCUUAUGCGUUGUGCAGCAGACGUUUCCUUUGUCCCAUCAAGGACGCAGAUCAUACAUUAGCAUGCUCAAGUUGAAAUGACUUGACAUAGGCAAGAAACUUCCACACAUUUUCUCUUCCAUUCACACUUAUUGGGGUUUCUUAUAGGUUUUAAAUCUUGAAGCUUACAUGGUCACUAAUAUGGGCAUGUUCUGUUAAAUCACUAACCUUGAUUUCAGUCUUUAGGCAUUAUGACGAAACUUCAACAUUGAAGAUUGUGAAAGGUGAUUUUUUUUUUCAUUUCCUUUGACGUAUAUUUAAGUCUUUUUUCCCCUCUUCUGUUUCAUGUUCCAUUAAUUCAAAUAUGUUCUAUUGCCUGGUGAAUAUUUAUUCUGUUUUAGUGGCUGACUAAUUGGCCCUUUGCUGAUCAAUAUAGUUCCCUUUGAAUGGCAUGAAAGAAGAGGAAUAAUGGUUGCUUCCCGUGCUUAAUAAUUGUAUAUAUAUGCUGUACAUAUAAACUGAUCGCUUUAUCUAAUUACAGGGCAGCUACAUUGCAAAGUAUUAAGUAAUAACCUGUUAUCUUUUUCGCUUUUUUUGCUAUAUCACUUAACAAUUGCUGUUGUUGUUAAUUUAGCUUGACACAAGUAUGUGAUUUGCCAUUUCAUUUGGUACAUUGAAGCUUGGGCCUUUUGCCUUUUGUGUUCUCAUCUGUCAUUAUAUUGCAUACAUUUAUGAUCAUUUUUUCGCAAAUUAUAUAGUGGCAUGCUUUAACCAUGACUAUUAUCUUCAUGCAGACAUGCAGUGAACUUCAAUUGGAUAAUAAUGAUGGUUUUAAUUUUUGACUCAACAUGCGGAAGAGAUUCAAAAUAGUUUUUUUUUCCAGUGAAUACAUACAUUAUAGCGAGCAUUAGGGUUUUGACCAUGCACGAGCAAUGUAUAAGAAAGUAGAUGCAGAGGAAUAUUUUAUGAGCAAUUCAAUGUGUUUUAACUGUAACACUAAAAUAUACCGUAUAUAUCUUUAUUCAUUUUUUUUGCAUUUGACAUAUAUGAUCUUGUAUAAAGCUGAAUAAAGUUUUUAGUUGAGUUGAUCCUUGACAAGCUCAAAUCCAUCACGGGGCUGGGGCUCGUCAGCGACGUGUUAAGGGAUCUGGCACACGUCAAUAGCCCCCAUGGCCAGGCCACCAUUGGCCACAUCCGCUACUCCACCUCCGGUGGCGAUGCCCAGCUGUGCAACAUGGUGCCGUUCCUUGCCGGACACCGGUUCGGGCAGCUCGCCGUGGAGCACAACGACAACCUGGUGAACUAGUUGCCUUUGCGCCACAAGCUGGAGGCGCAUGGCUCCAUCUUCAACAACUCAGAGGUCAUCCUCCACCUCAUCACCAGAUCCUCCACAAUAUGGAUGCAUGGGUUCUACCUAGGUUUCAUGGAAGUGUGUGUAUGUCGAAUGCAAGAGAUGGAGGCUUUGAAUAAGAAGAGCACAAUACCUUUCUGUGAAGCCCUUUGAUAUCCUUGCCAGGCAUGCGUUCUUUCACCCACUUCAAAAUUUACGUAGAUAGGGAGCAUCUGUGCGCACUUGUUGGGCCAUUCAUGUGAGCCAUCUCUGUAUGAUCAACCCAUGCUAGCCUCUAUUAACUUUAAAUACCUUAUGCAUCUCUCCUUCACAUGGAUUCAGAGUGAAAUAAUGGAUAACACACUAAAUAUUAUAUGCUUUCUA